rnacentral:rRNA from 1 species
GAUGAACGCUGGCGGCGUGCCUAAUACAUGCAAGUCGAGCGAACAGACGAGGAGCUUGCUCCUCUGACGUUAGCGGCGGACGGGUGAGUAACACGUGGAUAACCUACCUAUAAGACUGGGAUAACUUCGGGAAACCGGAGCUAAUACCGGAUAAUAUAUUGAACCGCAUGGUUCAAUAGUGAAAGACGGUUUUGCUGUCACUUAUAGAUGGAUCCGCGCCGCAUUAGCUAGUUGGUAAGGUAACGGCUUACCAAGGCAACGAUGCGUAGCCGACCUGAGAGGGUGAUCGGCCACACUGGAACGGAGACACGGUCCAGACUCCUACGGGAGGCAGAAGUAGGGAAUCUUCCGAAAUGGGCGAAAGCCUGACGGAGCAACGCCGCGUGAGUGAUGAAGGUCUUCGGAUCGUAAAACUCUGUUAUUAGGGAAGAACAAAUGUGUAAGUAACUAUGCACGUCUUGACGGUACCUAAUCAGAAAGCCACGGCUAACUACGUG